UACGGGGGGAGCAAGCGUUGUUCGGAUUUACUGGGCGUAAAGGGCGCGUAGGCGGCCACCGCAAGUCGGUUGUGAAAUCUCCGGGCUUAACCCGGAAAGGUCAAUCGAUACUGCGGGGCUAGAGUGCAGAAGGGGCAACUGGAAUUCUUGGUGUAGCGGUGAAAUGCGUAGAUAUCAAGAGGAACACCUGCGGCGAAGGCGGGUUGCUGGGCCGACACUGACGCUGAGGCGCGAAAGCCAGGGGAGCGAACGGG
rnacentral:rRNA from 1 species